rnacentral:rRNA from 1 species
AACGAACGCUGGCGGCAUGCCUAACACAUGCAAGUCGAACGAGACCUUCGGGUCUAGUGGCGCACGGGUGCGUAACGCGUGGGAACCUGCCCUUAGGUUCGGAAUAACUCCCCGAAAGGGGUGCUAAUACCGGAUAAUGUCUUCGGACCAAAGAUUUAUCGCCUUUGGAUGGGCCCGCGUUGGAUUAGCUAGUUGGUAGGGUAAAAGCCUACCAAGGCGACGAUCCAUAGCUGGUCUGAGAGGAUGAUCAGCCACACUGGGACUGGGACGCGGCCCAGACUCCUACGGGAGGCGGCAGUGGGGAAUAUUGGACAAUGGGCGAAAGCAUGAUCCAGCAAUGCCGCGUGAGUGAUGAAGGCCUUAGGGUUGUAAAGCGCUUUUACCCGGGAUGAUAAUGACAGUACCGGGAGAAUAAGCUCCGGCUAACUCCGUG